GAGGGUCCACCUGUUCCCAUUCCGAACACAGUAGUUAAGCUCACUUGCGUCGACAAUACUCGAUGGGCAACUGUCCGGGAAGAUAGAUAGGCGCCGACA
rnacentral:rRNA from 1 species